CCUACGGGGGGCUGCAGUGGGGAAUAUUGGACAAUGGGCGGAAGCCUGAUCCAGCAAUACCGCGUGUGUGAAGAAGGCCUGAGGGUUGUAAAGCACUUUCAAUAGGAAGGAAUACCUAUCCAUUAAUACUGGGUAGACUGACAUUACCUAUACAAGAAGCACCGGCUAACUCCGUGCCAGCAGCCGCGGUAAUACGGAGGGUGCAAGCGUGAACCGGAAUUACUGGGCGUAAAGCGGGUAUAGCAGACGUGAAAGCCCCGGGCUUAACCUGGGAAUGGCAGUUGAUACUGGCGAGCUAGAGUUGAGUAGAGGGGAGUGGAAUUUCAGGUGUAGCGGUGAAAUGCGUAGAGAUCUGAAGGAACACCAGUGGCGAAGGUGACUCCCUGGACUCAAACUGACGCUGAGGUACGAAAGCGUGGGUAGCAAACAGGAUUAGAUACCCUAGUAGUC
rnacentral:rRNA from 1 species